GAUGAACGCUAGCGGCAGGCCUAAUACAUGCAAGCCGGACGGCAAGUUGAGUAGCAAUACUUGACCUAGAGUGGCGUAAGGGUGCGUAACACGUAUGCAAUCUGCCCACAGCCGGGAGAUAGCCCUCCGAAAGGAGGAUUAAUAUCCCAUAGGAAGAUGAGAUGGCAUCAUUUUAUUUUAAACUACGGGGCUGUGGAUGAGCAUGCGGUUGAUUAGCUAGUUGGCGGGGUAAAGGCCCACCAAGGCGAUGAUCAAUAGGGGACCUGAGAGGGUGAUCCCCCACACUGGCACUGAGAUACGGGCCAGACUCCUACGGGAGGCAGCAGGU
rnacentral:rRNA from 1 species